rnacentral:lncRNA from 1 species
CAAAGAUUUAGGGUUUAGGAUUUGAGUUUAGGGUUUAGUAUUAGAGUUUAGGGUUUAGUAUUAGAGUUUAGGGUUUAGUGUUUUGUUGACAACAUUAUUAUUUUUUUGAAUUCGUUUUUUAUAUAUUAUUUUUAUUUAUUUUUAAAUUUUAUUUUGAAAAGAUAAUAUAAUUUGUCAAGUUAUUUAUUUUCCAUAAUUAAAAAAUACUAGAUCUAAAAUGAUAAUUUUCUAUUGGUUAGUGAACCUAAA